rnacentral:rRNA from 1 species
UUGGGAGCUCAUUGACUUCGGAGUCAUGGAGACUUCGAAGUUAAGCGAGUUUGGGCUAGAGUAAUUCCAGGAUGGGUGACCCACUGAGAAAUUGCUCGUGAGCUCCCAGA